rfam:Paenibacillus sp. FSL H7-0737, complete genome.
GCCGGUGUAGCUCAACUGGUAGAGCAACUGACUUGUAAUCAGUAGGUUGGGGGUUCAAGUCCUCUCGCCGGCA